rnacentral:rRNA from 1 species
GGAUCAAAUUGUCGGUCGUGCCUCGGUACGAACUGGUAUUAUUGGUUCCUACCUUCUGAAGAACCGCGAUGUCAUUAAUUUGGUAUCGUGGGGAAUCAGGACUAUUACUUUGAAAAAAUUAGAGUGUUUAAAGCAGGCUCACGCUUGAAUACAUUAGCAUGGAAUAACGGAAUAGGAUGUUUGAUUCUAUUUUGUUGGUUUCUAGGAUCGACGUA